GAACUAUACCAGACCAGGAUGAAGCCAGGGGAAACCCUGGUGGAGGUCCGUAGCGAUUCUGACGUGCAAAUCGAUCGUCAGAGUUUGGUAUAGGGGCGAAAGACUAAUCGAAUCAUCUAGUAGCUGGUUCCCUCCGAAGUUUCCCUCAGGAUAGCUGGUGCCGAUGAUGAUCAGAGUCUCAUCUGGUAAAGCGAAUGAUUAGAGGCCUUGGGGUUGAAACGACCUCAACCUAUUCUCAAACUUUAAAUGGAUGAGAGCCUUGGCUUUCUUAAAA
rnacentral:rRNA from 1 species